rnacentral:snoRNA from 1 species
CUGAUAUGAUGUUGAUCAAAUGUCUGACCUGAAAUGAAAUGGAAAAAAAAAAAAAAGAA